rnacentral:rRNA from 1 species
GACGAACGCUGGCGGCGUGCUUAACACAUGCAAGUCGAACGAAGUGGCGAACGGGUGAGUAACGCGUAAUCACCCUGCCCUUCAGAGGGGGACAACAGUUGGACACGACUGCUAAUACCUCAUCCUGAAGGUGGGGUUUGCGUCUGUUUAGGUAGUUGGCGAGGUAACGGCCCACCAAGGCGAUGAUCAGUAGCCGGUCUUAGAGGAUGAACGGGCAAAUGGGGACUGAGGCACGGCCCAGACGUCUACGGGAGGCAGCAGGGGGGAAGCUUUCGAAAGGGAGGGAAGUCUGAAGGGGCAACGCCGGGGGAGAGAUGAAGGCCUUCGGGUUGUAAAGCUACGUGAAUCGGGAAGCGGUACCGGAAUAGAAAGCCACGGCUAACUACGUGCCAGCCGCCGCGGUAAUAC